UAUGUAGGUGGUUGAAUAAGUCAGACGUGUAAGCCCACGGCUCAACCGUGGAAUUGCGUUUGAAACUGUUCAACUUGAGUGCAGGAGAGGAAAGCGGAAUUCCCAGUGUAGCGGUGAAAUGCGUUGAUAUUGGGAAGAACACCGGUGGCGAAGGCGGCUUUCUGGCCUGUUACUGACACUGAGAUACGAAAGCCAGGGGAGCAAACG
rnacentral:rRNA from 1 species